UAAUAUACUAUUUUAGUGUGGAGUGAAUGCCUUGGAAGAAAAAUAUAGGCGCGGACAAUCGCGAAAGUGUUGACACGAGGAAAGCCUGUGACGUCAACCAACCUAAAAUGGGAAACCGGGGCUAAAAAGCCCGCUGCUUAGGCAGUAUCAAGGGGAAGUGAAACAUCUCAGUACCCUGUAGACCAAAUCAACCGAGAUAUCGUUAGUAGUGGUGAGCGAAAGCGAUAAAAAGGCAAAACGAAAAUUUUAUUAUUAAGAAUGAAAAGAAGUUUUGUUUUUCAAUGAAAUUUCUACCUUAGAAGGUGUUAGUCCUGUAAUUCUUUUUUUUUUCGUGAAAGUAAGACGAGGCAAGUUUACCUUGUCUGAGUAUUGGGGGACCACCCUCAAAGCCUAUAGUUAUUUUUCUUACCGAUAGUGAACAAGUACCGUGAGGGAAAGGUGAAAAAGAAGUUGCGACAGUGCAAAGAUCCUGAAACUCCAUAUUUGAGUCGGAGCUAUAAAAAGCAACGGCAUACCUUUUGUAUAAUGGGCAAGUGAAUCUUAAUAAAGGGCAAGCUUAAGCUAAUAAAAGUGUAGGCGAAGAGAAAUCGAGUCCUAUGUGGCAUCCUAAAGUCCUUUGUUAAGUACCCGAAACCGGCUGAUCUAAACUUGAGCAGGCUGAUAUUGUAGUGGCAACAUUCUUUGGAGGGCCGAACCCGUGUAUGUGGCAAAAUACUGGGAUGACUUGAGUUUAGGGGUGAAAGGCCAAUCAAAGUCGGUGAUAGCUGGAUUUCUGCGAAAUCUAUUGAAGUAGAGCGUCCUAAACAGUAAAUCUGGGGUAGAGCACUGUAUAAGCAAGGGGGAGAUCUUCUCUUACUAAACUUUGGCAAACUCCGAAUACAGAUUUUUCAUUUAGGGCAGACAGAGUAUGUAUGCUAAGAUUCAUACUCAAGAGGGAAACAGCCCAGACUGUAGGCUAAGGUCCACAAAAUAGUUUCAGUGGUAAAGGUGAUAUCUGCUCUGAGACCGUCAGGAGGUAGGCUUGGAAGCAGCCAUCCUUUUAAGACAGCGUAACAGCUCACUGACCUAGAGUAGAAGUCCCGCCAAUUUUGAGGGCUUAAAACUAUUACCGAAGCCUCAGACAAAAAUGUUAAGAUAAUUAAAAACUCUUAUAUUUUGUGGUAGCAGAACAUUCCGUAGGUCGUAGAAGUUUUGACGUAAGUUAAGAUCAAGAUAUCGGAAGCGAGAAUACUUGCAUGAGUAGCAUAAAACAAUGAAAUUAAAGCAUUGUGGCCGUAAGUCCAAGGUUUACGAUCUUAAGUAAAACUGGGUCGUGAGAGGGUAACACCUCGAUUUAAAACGGUCCCUAAGCUGUUAAGCCAAAGCUUGCAGUAAUGGGUAAGAUUAAACUGUUAAAAGUUGCUGACGAAAAAUUCACCUUAUUCUUGAAUUUGUCAAGAGUGAGUUAUUUUUUCCAAGAAAAAGGCACUUUAUUUAUACCGUACCUUAAACCGCCUCAGGUGGACGGGUGGAGAACACUAAGGCCUUGAGAUAACCCUGUUGAAGGAACUCGGCAAAAUGACUCUGUAACUUCGGAAUAAGGAGUAAAGACAUGUAGCGCAAGCUUUUGUCUUUGUCACAAAAUCGGGGGUGGCGACUGUUUAUUAAAAACACAGGUCUCUGCUAACUCGCAAGAGGAUGUAUAGGGACUGACACCUGCCCGGUGCCGGUAGGUGAAGCUUUGAUGUUUACGCAUUGAGGUCAAACCCCGGUAAACGGCGGCUGUAACUAUGACGGUCCUAAGGUAGCGAAAUUCCUUGUCGGGUAAGUUCCGACCCGCAUGAAUGGUGUAACGACUUCCCCGCUGUCUCCAACAGGGACUCAGUGAAAUUACAUAGGUCGUGAAGAUGCGACCAUCCCACAGCUGGACGGAAAGACCCCGUGCACCUUUACUAUAAGCAAAUAUUGUAGGUCAAAGACUCUAGUGUAGAAUAGGUGGGAGCUUAUGAUUCUUUCUCGUCAGAGUCUGAUGAGGCGAUAGUGAAAUACCACCCCGAGAUCUGUUGGCUUACUAACUAAGGGACAGUGUUUGCUGGGUAGUUUGACUGGGGCGGUCGCCUCCUAAAGAGUAACGGAGGCAUACAAAGGUAGGUUCAUCUCCUUCUAAGGGGAAUUGAGUAUAAUGGUAUAAACCUGCUUGACUGAAAGAAAGACAUUUCGAUCAGAGACGUAAGUCGGUCAUAGUGAUCCGGUGGUUCUUUGUGGAAAGGCCAUCGCGCAAUGGAUAAAAGGUACGCCGGGGAUAACAGGCUAAUGAUCCUCUAGAGCCCCUAUCGACGGGUUCGUUUGGCACCUCGAUGUCGACUCAUCACAUCCUGGAGCUGGAAAAGGUUCCAAGGGUUCGGCUGUUCGCCGACGAAAGUGGUACGUGAGUUGGGUUUAGAACGUCGUGAGACAGUUUGGUCCCUAUCUUCUGUGGGUGUUUGAAAAUUCCGAGGACUAGACCUUAGUACGAGAGGACCGGGAAAACUCGAUCCCUUGUGUUCCGGUUGUUCCCUAAGGGGCAUCGCCGGGUAGCUACAUCGAGAAGAGAUAAUCGACCGUUAGGCGAGAAACUCUCCUCUAGUAAAGUUUUCUAAAGGGGGUGGAAGAUUACCACUUUGAUAGGCGGGAGGUGUAAGAGCUGUAAGGUUUUCAGCUGACCCGUACUAAUCCCUAGAAAAAUAAAAUUAUAUAGUUUUUGC
rnacentral:rRNA from 1 species